AGUUUUCGGACAACGGAAGGUGAGGACAGUGGCGGACGGGUGAGUAACGCGUGAGGAACCUGCCUUUCAGAGGGGGACAACAGUUGGAAACGACUGCUAAUACCGCAUGACACAUAGAGAUCGCAUGGUUUUUAUGUCAAAGAUUUAUCGCUGAAAGAUGGCCUCGCGUCUGAUUAGCUAGUUGGUGAGGUAACGGCCCACCAAGGCGACGAUCAGUAGCCGGACUGAGAGGUUGACCGGCCACAUUGGGACUGAGAUACGGCCCAGACUCC
rnacentral:rRNA from 1 species